rnacentral:rRNA from 1 species
UACAGAGGCCACGAGCGUUAGGCGGAAUCACUGGGCUUAAAGCGUGUGUAGGUGGAUCGGUAAGUACCUUGUGAAAUCCCACGACUCAAUCGUGGAACUGCUUGGUAUACUGCCAGUCUUGAGGCACUCAGGGGCGAGCGGAACAGAUGGUGGAGCGGUGAAAUGCGUAGAUAUCAUCUGGAACGCCAAUGGUGAAGACAGCUCGCUGGGGGUGUUCUGACACUGAGACACGAAAGCCAGGGGAGCAAACGGG